rnacentral:rRNA from 1 species
CUACCCUUGACAUGGAAGGAAUCCUUGAGAGAUCGAGGAGUGCUCGAAAGAGAACCUUUACACAGGUGCUGCAUGGCUGUCGUCAGCUCGUGUCGUGAGAUGUUGGGUUAAGUCCCGCAACGAGCGCAACCCUUGUCAUUAGUUGCUGCGAAAGGGCACUCUAAUGAGACUGCCGGUGACAAACCGGAGGAAGGUGGGGAUGACGUCAAGUCCUCAUGGCCCUUAUGGGUAGGGCUUCACACGUCAUACAAUGGUACAUACAGAGGGCCGCCAACCCGCGAGGGGGAGCUAAUCCCAGAAAGUGUAUCGUAGUCCGGAUUGUAGUCUGCAACUCGACUACAUGAAGUUGGAAUCGCUAGUAAUCGCGGAUCAGCAUGUCGCGGUGAAUACGUUCCCGGGUCUUGUACACACCGCCCGUCACACCAUGGGAGCGGGUUUUACCAGAAGUAGGUAGCUUAACCGCAAGGAGGGCGCUUACCACGGUAGGAUUCGUGACUGGGGUG